rnacentral:rRNA from 1 species
AAGACCUUGCGCUUUUGGAGCGGCCGAUGCCUGAUUAGCUUGUUGGUAAGGUAAAAGCUUACCAAGGCUUCGAUCAGUAGCUGGUCUGAGAGGACGACCAGCCACACUGGGACUGAGACACGGCCCAGACUCCUACGGGAGGCAGCAGUGGGGAAUUUUGGACAAUGGGGGCAACCCUGAUCCAGCCAUGCCGCGUGAGUGAAGAAGGCCUUCGGGUUGUAAAGCUCUUUCAGCCGGAACGAAACGGUUACGGAUAACACCCGUGACUACUGACGGUACCGGAAGAAGAAGCACCGGCUAACUACGUGCCAGCAGCCGCGGUAAUACGUAGGGUGCGAGCGUUAAUCGGAAUUACUGGGCGUAAAGCGUGCGCAGGUGGUUUUGUAAGUCAGAUGUGAAAGCCUCGGGCUCAACCUGGGAACU